CAGCAGCCGCGGGAAUACGUAGGUGGCAAGCGUUAUCCGGAAUUAUUGGGCGUAAAGCGCGCGUAGGCGGUUUCUUAAGUCUGAUGUGAAAGCCCACGGCUCAACCGUGGAGGGUCAUUGGAAACUGGGAAACUUAAGUGCAGAAGAGGAAAGUGGAAUUCCAUGUGUAGCGGUGAAAUGCGCAGAGAUAUGGAGGAACACCAGUGGCGAAGGCGACUUUCUGGUCUGUAACUGACGCUGAUGUGCGAAAGCGUGGGGAUCAAACAGGAUUAGAUACCCCAGUAGUCCCUGUCUCUUAUAC
rnacentral:rRNA from 1 species